rnacentral:lncRNA from 1 species
CAUUAGUCCACAGCGCGUGCCAGAGGAUAAAGCGAGACUACUUAGCUAAAGCCAGGAGCUUCGAAUGAUCAAGGAAGUGUUCACGCUUGAGACCCAUUUGUUAGGUCCUCAAAGGCCUUGGACCUUCCUAGACACCCGUUAGAGGAAUCAGUGCUAGUCUCUCUUCCAUCCCAAUUUUUAAAUGUACUUUGGGAUAUUUCAAAAGCAUUCCUUCUACUAUGGAAGGUUUCCCUAGGUGCAGGGAAAGUUAUAAAAGGAGAAGAAUGUUCUGGAGACACUAUUGCCAUCCCCAGACCUCUUGGCCCAUGUCCAUCUUGGCAGCAAAUAGAAGUUAUGCUAUGUGGGUGAUGCUGAAUAUAGUUCCCUGUGCUGUUCAGCAGGACCUGGUUUAUCCACUGAUAAAAUAUUUUAACUCCAGAGUGUGGAUGAGAAACCUGGCCCCACCACUCCACAGUGGAGCCUGACUGCACCAACCCUGGCGCCUAGAAGCCAGGGCUCCCUGGGGCACUGGGACUUCUCCUCAGGACACUUCUGAGACCUUCGGGUACUAACCACACCCUGCGGAGGGGACAGGACACGACGACAGAAACAGGGGCUAAGGAAGAGACAAGCAUCACGCACCCCGGCGGCCCUAUUAUCUACACAAUGAAAUUACACCACGAAUUAAACAGGCGAAGUACCUCAGACUCGGGGAGCCGGUCACUUGGUCAAGUUCUCAGCUCACAGGAGGCAGAGCAGGUGUCAAACGCCCAGUUCACAGCUGUUCUCACACAUUUGCUCAUGUAGUCAUUCAAAGGUCAUUGGUGAGUUUCCGUGUGUGUGCAGGUCUGUGUUCCCACCGCGGCCACUGUGAUGGGGACCCAGGUCAGAGCAGAGGCAGGAUGGGAAGGAAACCCGCCGCUCUGCCCUUGGGGCGGGAAAGAGAAAGGAGCCCUGAGCAGCUGCGAACAGCCGCAAAGGCGCCUGCGCCGCAGAGGCGCUCGGGACAGACCCGGCCCCGUGUGAGUCCAGAACCUGCAGGGGCAGCACCUGGGGGCUUCCUAGCAACGCACACUCCCCCCCCACCCCCCGCCCCGCCACCUCCCAAGUCCCAGUCUGCAGAGUAAAACCAUCCCCGUGGGACCCGCAGGGGAAAUGUGCUGCCCCCAAUUACAGACAGACCCGUGGACAGAGGGCGGAGAAGGAUGUGGGAUUAGUUAGGAAGGCUUCUUGGAGGAGGCUUCCAGCAAUGAAAGCCGGCUGCCACUUAGGACAAUAAGAUCCUUGGCCUCCAACAGCUUCUCAAACUUGGCUGCCAGGUGAAAUCACCUGUGGUUUUAAAAAAUGAUUCCUGCCCCCCAAACCCAGAAAUUAUGACUUAAUCGAGAUGAGGCUUCAGCACCGAGUUUGUUUUUCUUUUGCACCUUAGGGCCGCACCUGAGGCAUAUGGAGGUUCCCAGGCUAGGGGUCUAAUAGGAGCUACAGCCACAGCAACGCGAGAUCCGAGCUGUGUCUGCGACCUACACCACAGCUCACGUAAAGGCCAGAAUCUUGAGCCACUGAGCGAGGCCAGAGAUCAAAGCCGCAACCCCAUGGUUCCUAGUCGGAUUCGUUCCUGCUGCGCCACAACGGGAACUCCACAAUUUGGUUUUGCCGCCAAGUUUACAAACCACUGACCUUUGCUAUAUUUAAGACAUAAAGGACUGUACCUGGACGAGAAAACAGAGUAAACAGCGAUCAGGUGAUUCUGCAGGACCAGGAAUGUGCGUUUCUGUGUGCCGAGGAUGAGGUAGAUGAUGAGGGUGAGGCUAGGGUUUGAGACCCCUCCUGCCCCCAGUUCGGCCUUCCUGGCCCCAAGUUCUGUCUCCUUUUCGCUUGCCUCACCUGGAUGCCUGGAUUCCGCUGCCGCCUAGUGGUGGUUUUCAGUACAGCAUGCUGUCCCUGAAGGUUUCACAAGAGCGGAGCCUUCAUCACAAACUUGAGUCCCAGGGUGUGUCUUGCUGGCUGGCAUAGCCUAGGAACUGUACACGCUGAGCAGUGUAGCAGGAACCUCAGGAGUUGCUUCUUUGCAGGGAAGCUGAGGGAACUCCAGGUCCCUGACCAAGCACAGGGCUGACACUGGGCUGUGACUAGAGACUUCCUAUGCCUGAGAUUUGAGGAAAUUGGUCUUGUCAGUGACAAGUGCCUAUGAAUGAUAUCAAGCAUAAGGAAAAGGUGAAAGGUAACAAGCUUCAACAAUGACCAGCCACCCCUUAUUCUGCUCUGAAUCAUUGAACCUGCCCCUCACACCUGUGGACACCUGUCAAGCGCAUAAAUCGAGCCCAUACUAUGUGUUUGAAUAUUUAAAGUUACAGAUCAAGCAGACAAACUGUCAAGUACACCUGUGUAACCACCUCGCAGCUGCCAUUCCUGGGCCCUGCAGCUCAAGCCACAGGUGGGACAGCAGAGGGACAGCCGCCCCCAGUCCCCGAGGGCUCUUCCCACUCUGGCUCCGACCCGCUUUGUGCCCUGAGGAAUCUGCUGCUCAGUCAAGAGCACACCCAGCCUUCAAAUCCAAGCUCAGGCCACCCUCCUCCGGCCCCAUAAACAGCUGAGACUUGACCACUUGUGGGGCUAGGAGAUGAGCCCCAGGGGGCAGGCCUGCACUAGGACUGGGAGUAGGAGUCUAGGGUUUAGGUGCUCAGUGCAUGGCCUGGGAAGAGGGGCUCCAGGUGGACACACCCCCUUGUCCUCUCUGGCUGCCUGCCCCACGGGGAGGGUACAACCAGAGGGAGACCUGAGCAGGGCCUUCAAAACCAGCACUUCUCAAACUUUAAUGUGAGCAGGACUCACCUGGGAUCUGAAGACUCUGAGGCAGCAGGUCGGGGGAGAGACCAAGAUUCCACGCCUAACAGCCUCCCCGCAAAGCCGCUGCUGCUGGUCCACAGGCCCCGCUUAGCAAAGCUCUAAGGUGGGGUGGGCGGGGGUUUCUGCAAAGGGACGCGAGGUACAUUCUCAGGCUCUGCAACACCUCAGCUCUGCUGGUGCCACACAAAUGCGGUUGCAGACAAAGUUGGUGAGCCUGGCUGUGUGUCAAUACAACCUUGUUGGUGAACAUUGAAACUUGAAUUUCAUGAUUUUUCUAUGACACAAAAUAUUCUUCUUCUGCGGAUUAUUUCAACCUUUUUAAAAUGUAAAAACUGUUCUUAACUCAUGGGCCAUAAGAAACAGGACCAGACAAAGCCUCAAAUCUCUAAAAGAUAAGGAUGUUUUAACAUUAAGCACAAUAUCAACAUCCCACCUAAAAGCAAUUAGCAAAAAUAUUUAAUAUCAUCAAACACCCUUUAAGUGUUUUAAUCUCUAACUAUAUUAUAGAAGAUAGGUUUAACCCCAUUCUUAAAUAUAUAAUCACUGUCUAAUCUGUCUCUUUAUUCUUUACCUGUAGCUCUGGAUUCUUUCCCAGUAGCUCAGCAUCUUGCACCCUAUGUUGUCAUACUACAUUUCACCAAUAGGUGGCACUAUAACCCUGACAUUUGCUAACAGCUUGGCACCCAAGAAAAAAAUUGUAUGCAAUUUGCAAUUAUAAAUGAGUACAUGAUCACAAAAAUUGAAAAAUAGCCUGUUUCCUCUGUGUAACAUGUGAUAAACCUCAAUACAUCCCAAUUUCAAGGAAAAAAAUAUUGAUGUUAAAUAAAUUUCUUUUUUAAAAAAAACAAACAUGAGAAGCCCACUGCUCUGUAUUGAGGUUCACUUUUGCAUUUCCAGUGUUCAGUAACUGAGGCCCUUAUAUUCUCCUGCUUAAGAUAAAAGCAAAUUGAAUCUAUUUGCACAAUUGAUCUAAAUGUCAAAUACCCAUUUCAAUUGUACCAUCUGAAUUGUAUUGUGUGCCUACCUCUGAAUAAAACAGUUUCUUUU